UGAGAGAACAGGAAGUAACACACACACAGUGUACAGAGAGUUUACAGUAAAAUAAAAGCAGGCAGUUCACCACCUGGUCAGUUUCCUUGGGUUGGCUGUAAAGUAACAUGAAGGUGCAGCACCUGGGUGUCAGCUUCAGAGCAGAGCAGCAUCUUCUUUGAGACUGGAGGCUUUUGAUGACAGCAGCUCUGCACAUCAACAUCAAGCUGAAGAAUUCACUUUUUGUGGGAGGGAGGGAAUCUCACACAGCUACCUCAGCUACCUCCACCCUGCUGCUACUGAUCAACAAGGAGUUUUCCACACCAAGUUUCCAGCUGGGGGAAGUCAGAAGAGCUCACAGACACUGUGUGCUAGAAAACAGUAGAAACAUGAAGUAACAGUCUACACUGAGAAACAUUCAGGGAUUUACAACACACACACUUUCCUCACAUCCACACAUCAUUGGAACAUUUCAGAAAAGACAACAACUUUUUUAGUGUGUUUGAUAUUUUUAAUAAUACGCUCUAAAAAGGUUCCAAACAAGAUGAUUUGAAUAUUUGUUUCAUUCUUUUCUAAGUGCUGGUUAAGGUCUGUGAGAGUGCUUCAGAGUUCACUCAUGCAUUAAAGGGUUAAACAUUGAUUCUGUUUAAAGACAUUGAUUCAUUAUUGUGUCAGAAAAACCAACUUCUACAAAUAACAAACGACUUUCAAACUUUCAUACUGUAAAAUCAUAUUCUUUACAUUUAUUACUGAUAGAGUAGAACUGUGUGAGAUUACUGAACAGUUCAGAUCAGUUCUGUGUUUCAGUCACUGCUGCUUUUCUUUCUUUCCUCUAAAUCUGUUAACAGGGUGUUUUUCACCA